rnacentral:rRNA from 1 species
GUAUAAUGGGUCAGCGACUUAUAUUCUGUAGCAAGGUUAACCGUAUAGGGGAGCCGCAGGGAAACCGAGUCUUAACUGGGCGUUAAGUUGCAGGGUAUAGACCCGAAACCCGGUGAUCUAGCCAUGGGCAGGUUGAAGGUUGGGUAACACUAACUGGAGGACCGAACCGACUAAUGUUGAAAAAUUAGCGGAUGACUUGUGGCUGGGGGUGAAAGGCCAAUCAAACCGGGAGAUAGCUGGUUCUCCCCGAAAGCUAUUUAGGUAGCGCCUCGUGAACUCAUCUUCGGGGGUAGAGCACUGUUUCGGCUAGGGGGUCAUCCCGACUUACCAACCCGAUGCAAACUACGAAUACCGAAGAAUGUUAUCACGGGAGACACACGGCGGGUGCUAACGUCCGUCGUGAAGAGGGAAACAACCCAGACCGCCAGCUAAGGUCCCAAAGUCACAGUUAAGUGGGAAACGAUGUGGGAAGGCCCAGACAGCCAGGAUGUUGGCUUAGAAGCAGCCAUCAUUUAAAGAAAGCGUAAUAGCUCACUGGUCGAGUCGGCCUGCGCGGAAGAUGUAACGGGGCUAAACUGUGCACCGAAGCUGCGGCAGCGACACUUAGGUGUUGUUGGGUAGGGGAGCGUUCUG